rnacentral:rRNA from 1 species
CGAAGCGAACCGGGGGAACUGAAACAUCUCAGUACCCCGAGGAAAAGAAAUCAACCGAGAUUCCCCUAGUAGCGGCGAGCGAACGGGGAGCAGCCCAGAGUCUUAAUCAGCAUUAGUAUCAGGAGAACGGUCUGGAAAGUCCGGCAGUAAAGGGUGAUAGCCCCGUAUCUGAAGAUGCUAGUGUUGUGAACUCGACGAGUAGGGCGGGACACGUGUUAUCCUGUCUGAAUAUGGGGGGACCAUCCUCCAAGGCUAAAUACUCCUGAUUGACCGAUAGUGAACCAGUACCGUGAGGGAAAGGCGAAAAGAACCCCGGCGAGGGGAGUGAAAUAGAACCUGAAACCGUGUACGUACAAGCAGUGGGAGCCUUGAUUUAUCAGGGUGACUGCGUACCUUUUGUAUAAUGGGUCAGCGACUUAUAUUCUGUAGCAAGGUUAACCGUAUAGGGGAGCCGUAGGGAAACCGAGUCUUAACUGGGCGAAUGAGUUGCAGGGUAUAGACCCGAAACCCGGUGAUCUAGCCAUGGGCAGGUUGAAG